rnacentral:misc_RNA from 1 species
CGCACAUUGCGCCCGCCAGUAUUCUGGCGGGCAUGCCUGUUCGAGCGUCAUUUCAACCCUCAAGCUCCGGCUUGGUGUUGGGGAUCGGCAGCCCGGCUUCGCGCCGUCGCCGUCCCCCAAAUGCAGUGGCGGUCACGCUGUAGCUUCCUAUGCGUAGUAGCACACCUCGCACUGGAAAGCAGCGCGGCCACGCCGUAAAACCCCCAACUUUUUUGUGGUUGACCUCGAAUCAGGUAGGACUACCCGCUGAACUUAA